rnacentral:rRNA from 1 species
GACGAACGCUGGCGGCAUGCCUUACACAUGCAAGUCGAACGGUAACAGGUCUUCGGAUGCUGACGAGUGGCGAACGGGUGAGUAAUACAUCGGAACGUGCCUAGUAGUGGGGGAUAACUACUCGAAAGAGUGGCUAAUACCGCAUGAGAUCUACGGAUGAAAGCAGGGGAUCGCAAGACCUUGUGCUACUAGAGCGGCCGAUGGCAGAUUAGGUAGUUGGUGGGAUAAAAGCUUACCAAGCCGACGAUCUGUAGCUGGUCUGAGAGGACGAUCAGCCACACUGGGACUGAGACACGGCCCAGACUCCUACGGGAGGCAGCAGUGGGGAAUUUUGGACAAUGGGCGCAAGCCUGAUCCAGCAAUGCCGCGUGCAGGAUGAAGGCCUUCGGGUUGUAAACUGCUUUUGUACGGAACGAAAAGCCCUGGGUUAAUACCCUGGGGUCAUGACGGUACCGUAAGAAUAAGCACCGGCUAACUACGUGCCAGCAGCCGCGGUAA